rnacentral:sRNA from 1 species
UUACUACAUACCUUCAGAGCCAUCGCGG